rnacentral:ncRNA from 1 species
AAUAUGGCGUUGAUAAGGAUGAGUACGUAAACGAAAGUUUUCAAGAGAGCUUCUGAUGGUGAGAAUGAAGCAAACGGACCUUACGGAAUAUGACCUUUGAGCCUCGUACCGAAUUAAUAGUAGGCUACGACGAGCGGCACUCGUUACAACGGCAACAGUAUGAACACGUACUGGCAGAGGUGAGCAAUGUGAAUUGCUGACAAAAUUAGGUGGUAACGCGAUGAUUAAUCGCCCUAAUC